rnacentral:rRNA from 1 species
UGGGGAAUAUUGGACAAUGGGCGCAAGCCUGAUCCAGCAAUGCCGCGUGGAUGAAGAAGGUCUUCGGAUUGUAAAGUCCUUUCGGCGGGGACGAUGAUGACGGUACCCGCAGAAGAAGCCCCGGCUAACUUCGUGCCAGCAGCCGCGGUAAUACGAAGGGGGCUAGCGUUGCUCGGAAUGACUGGGCGUAAAGGGCGCGUAGGCGGAUUGGUCAGUCAGAUGUGAAAUUCCUGGGCUUAACCUGGGGGCUGCAUUUGAGACGGCUGAUCUAGAGUGGGGAAGAGGGUCGUGGAAUUCCCAGUGUAGAGGUGAAAUUCGUAGAUAUUGGGAAGAACACCGGUGGCGAAGGCGGCGACCUGGUCCUUGACUGACGCUGAUGCGCGAAAGCGUGGGGAGCAAAC